rnacentral:rRNA from 1 species
UGGGGAAUUUUGGACAAUGGGCGCAAGCCUGAUCCAGCCAUGCCGCGUGCGGGAAGAAGGCCUUCGGGUUGUAAACCGCUUUUGUCAGGGAAGAAAUCUUCUGAGUUAAUACCUCGGGAGGAUGACGGUACCUGAAGAAUAAGCACCGGCUAACUACGUGCCAGCAGCCGCGGUAAUACGUAGGGUGCAAGCGUUAAUCGGAAUUACUGGGCGUAAAGCGUGCGCAGGCGGUUUUGUAAGACAGAGGUGAAAUCCCCGGGCUCAACCUGGGAACUGCCUUUGUGACUGCAAGGCUUGAGUGCGGCAGAGGGGGAUGGAAUUCCGCGUGUAGCAGUGAAAUGCGUAGAUAUGCGGAGGAACACCGAUGGCGAAGGCAAUCCCCUGGGCCUGCACUGACGCUCAUGCACGAAAGCGUGGGGAGCAAACAGGAUUAGAUACCCUGGUAGUCCACGCCCUAAACGAUGUCAACUGGUUGUUGGGAAGGUUCCUUCUCAGUAACGUAGCUAACGCGUGAA